UGUGUAGACUGUUUCACUCCAUUUAAAAAUAGCCUCAUUCUGGAUUUUAUUUCUCCACAGGUGCUGUUCAAUUUGUGAUCUGAACGCACACUAAAAAAAAAUUCUAAAUAGUUUUUCAAAGUAGGUUGAACUAGAACUUGAACUGGCCUAUUGAGAUACGAGGAUUUUGUGAACUUCUAAUAACGACAAACGUUACAUCGUCGAAGUCCCUUGAGGAUAAACGAGUAUCGAUCUUAUAUAGUUGACACAUACAGUCGAUGUACUCGAUUCCAACUAGGGAUCGAACCUUCAACUAAUCACUCAAGUGAAAUGACGUUUGAUCUGAGACAAGAAGCAGGAAAAACAGACGAAGAAAAUGGCUGUUGUUGAGGCGUUGUUGGUAAAUAGUUUACAGUUAGUCAGCACUGGAUCGCGUCAAUCGGCCUUGUUCCGUUUACACACAGGGCAUAGACUUCAAUCGGACUUAGUGAAAGUAAAUUAUGCAGUCUAAUUUUUCUAAUUGCCGCACCUGGCAUACUGCUUUGAGCUUUUGCAGAAGUUAAAU